rnacentral:rRNA from 1 species
UACGUAGGGCGCAAGCGUUAUCCGGAAUUAUUGGGCGUAAAGAGCUCGUAGGCGGUUUGUCGCGUCUGCCGUGAAAGUCCGGGGCUCAACUCCGGAUCUGCGGUGGGUACGGGCAGACUAGAGUGAUGUAGGGGGAGACUGGAAUUCCUGGUGUAGCGGUGAAAUGCGCAGAUAUCAGGAGGAACACCGGUGGCGAAGGCGGGUCUCUGGGCCGAUACUGACGCUCAUGCACGAAAGCGUGGGGAGCAAACAGG